CCUACGGGGUGCAGCAGUGAGGAAUAUUGGUCAAUGGGCGCAAGCCUGAACCAGCCAAGUCGCGUGAGGGAUGACGGUCCUAUGGAUUGUAAACCUCUUUUGUCGGGGAGCAAGGCCCGCCACGUGUGGCGGGAAGGAGAGUACCCGAAGAAAAAGCAUCGGCUAACUCCGUGCCAGCAGUCGCGGUAAUACGGAGGAUGCGAGCGUUAUCCGGAUUUAUUGGGUUUAAAGGGUGCGUUGGCGGAAGGUUAAGUCAGCGGUCAAAUGUCGGUGCUCAACACCGGCCUGCCGUUGAAACUGGUCUUCUAGAGUUGGAGAGAAGUAUGCGGAAUUCGUGGUGUAGCGGUGAAAUGCAUAGAUAUCACGAAGAACUCCGAUUGCGAAGGCAGCAUACCGGCUCCAUACUGACGCUGAGGCACGAAAGCGUGGGGAUCGAACAGGAUUAGAUACCCUUGUAGUC
rnacentral:rRNA from 1 species